UACGGGGGGGCAAGCGUUGUUCGGAAUUACUGGGCGUAAAGGGCUCGUAGGCGGCCAACUAAGUCAGACGUGAAAUCCCUCGGCUUAACUGGGGAACUGCGUCCGAUACUGGAUGGCUCGAGUUUGGGAGAGGGAUGCGGAAUUCCAGGUGUAGCGGUGAAAUGCGUAGAUAUCGGGAAGAACAUCGGUGGCGAAGGCGGUCUGCUGGGCCGUUGCUGACGCUGAGGCGCGAAAGCGUGGGGAGCAAACAGG
rnacentral:rRNA from 1 species